rnacentral:lncRNA from 10 species
CAAAGAAAGAUCAAGUAAAGGCUUUGUGGGGACUCAGUUCAGGGAGUUUAUUGACCAGUUAGGUGACUUACAUUGCAUUUGCCCCUGCCCCCAUCCAUCCAGCUCAAGAGUGUGCCUUGCUUAAGAGCCAUAGGGGAGAGACUGGGAGGGAUGAAUUCUUAUUAUGUCAUUCAUCGUGCCCAUGGGGCUGAAGGAACAGGCUUCUUCUCGAGCUACACAGAAGAGCAGGCGCGGAUAGUGCAGUGCAGUGCCCCAUCCCCACACACCCGGUACCCUCCCAGGU